CGUUCACCGCCCAUCUUGCGUAGAAUCCAGCCGUUGCGAUGUGCGGAAGCCGGUGCGAAGCCGGCGCGGUCGCGCCACUGUAACCGGGGAGCCGGCCUUCCCGGAAGCCAGACCUGCACAUGGAGCAUCCUUUCA
rnacentral:ncRNA from 2 species